ensembl:lncRNA
GGAAAGGGUGUGGGAGAGAGAGAGAGGAUAAUUUGGCUGAGCGUCGAUGAAAGGAGGAAGCUGUUUUAUCAUUCCUCUGACGGGCAGCCCAGCACAAGUAACUUAGCGUGGGAGUCAAGCACACCGGGAGGAGAGUGGGCUGUAAUCGUGGCUCUGGGACAAAGCAGCACUGUCUGCUCUCUCUCUCCUACCUCUCCCCUCUCUCGUCUCUCCAUCUCGCCAUUCCCUGCCUCCCACACUACCCUCUGUCUCUCCUCUCUCUCUAUGUCCUCCUCCCUCCUCCCCUCCCUCUCUCCCCCUGCUCCCUCUCUUCCCACACUACCCUCUGUUUCCCCUCUCUCUCUCUGUCCUCCUCUCUCCCCCUCUUCCCACUCCCACCCGGUAGGGCCCGCCAGGCUGCCAUUGUUCAGGAUAUCCCCUCGUUGUUAAUAGCUUCCUGUACACUCAGAGAGGCCACAGAGAGAGACCCAGAGGCUGUGGUUGAUGCUGGGCGUUGACUGUCACAGCACAGCAGAGAACACCACAGGGACAGAGCCAGAGAUAGAGACAGGAACAGGGAUUAUUCCCACUGGGCACACCACAUCAUUUCUACGUGGAAAAUUGGGUAAUAUUUGGUUGAGACGUUGAUCAAUGAGAUUACAACCUAUAGUCACAUACUCAAAAACACAGCCCAAAGUUAGUUGAAUUGACAAUGUGUUAUCACUAUGCUUUUAAGCAUCUAAAAGCACAACCAAAUUCCAAUGGAAAAACAAUGUAGGAUUUUUGGUAUAGUCGUCACCCAAAUGUCUAUCACUGCGCUUUAAACCAUUAAAAAGCACAGCAAAAGUUCAAAUUGGAAUAAAAUGUCAGGUAUUUUGUUUAUUUAUACAACUGAUUAAUCUGUUAUCACUGUGAUUCCUCUAAUAAGAGAGACAAAUAUCAACAUUUAAAGGAGAUGUAUGUACUGCUUGCAUAGUUCCAUCUGAGCCACUUACUUAAUCCCAUUCUUUAACUUUGAUUUUUGGUUGAGUUGGAGACGUGAACCCAACCUAUCAUUUGUUAACUUGUAAGUUAUCAGGAUAUUUACUGUAUUUCAAAAGUUAUAUUUAAUUGUGUUUGGUUGGUAACGCAACCAAAAACCAACAUUUGAAGGGGAUUUAUCUUCUGCUUGGAUAGUUCCAUCUGUGCCACUGACUUAGUCUGGGUUUAAUUCCAGUUUGUCUAACAAAUGAAUCAUUUAUAUGUUGGAUUAAAGUCUCCAUCUCAACCAAAAAUCUAACUAAAAGAUUAGGACUGAAUCAAAUCAAACUUUAAAUGCUCUUUAAAUAAAGUUUAAUUUGAUUUACUCCUAUUGUUUAACUUACAUUUUUGGUUGAGAUGGAGGUGUGAAUUCAACAUAUCAGUUAUUAAAUUGUAGACCAAAUGGAAUUAAAGGCAAACUAAGUCAGUGGCACAAAUGGAGCUAUCCAAGCAGAAUGUAAAUUAUAUUUUGGUCGUCAACUAAAGAUAAUUCAAUAUUACUUUUGUAAUAAAGUAAAUAGCCUGAAGUUAAGUUACAUUAAAGUUAAUGUAACAUUCAACCUUUAAAUGAGUAACACGGCCACAUUCUGAGGUUAUUGUAACUAUAUAUUGUCUUGUGUAAUCAUAUAAAGUCAGCAUGUUCACAAUAAUCUGUGCAGAAUCUCGAACAGCACUGAUCACUUGCACCAUGACAUUUUAAUGUCUACUCAAAAUUGGAAUGUAAUAUAUAGUCUAUAUACUGUAUCUCUGAGCAAAGAUACAGGGUCACUGCAGUGUGUUUGAGGGAUUGUUACCAUAUGUUGAAGAUUAUAUAUUAUUCAUUAAUUAAUUCACAAUCAAAAUGUUUUAAUGGAGAAGAGUGUCGUGCCUCCACCACUUUUUAUGGGUCAUUUAAUAUCAUAGAAUGUAAAAAGUGAACAGCCCGCUAUACAAGCAUUUAGCUAGGUAUUACUGUUGGAGCUAGAAACACAAGCAUUUAGCUAGGUAUUACUGUUGGAGCUAGAAACACAAGCAUUUAGCUAGGUAUUACUGUUGGAGCUAGAAACACAAGCAUUUAGCUAGGUAUUACAGUACUGUUGGAGCUAGAAACACAAGCAUUUAGCUAGGUAUUACAGUACUGUUGGAGCUCGAAACACAAGAAUUUAUCUAGGUAUUACUGUUGGAGCUAGAAACACAAGCAUUUGGCUAGGUAUUACAGUACUAUUGGAGCUAGAAACACAAGCAUUUAGCUAGG